rnacentral:tRNA from 1 species
ACAGUGGUGGUUCAGUGGUAGAAUUCUUGCCUUCCAUGUGGGAGACCUGGUUUCCAUUCCCAGCCAAUGCA